UGGAGUGCAGGUUUCUUUGUGGGUUUUAAAUCCCUACAAUUUUUUUCCCUAAGUAAUUACUAAGAUUUCCGAACAUUUUCCACUUUUCCCUACAGUUUUUUUUUUUUUUUUUUUACACAUGUUCUGAUCUGUCUGGUUUUCCUCAGCUGAAAUCCACCACAUUUUCUGCUGAAACCUUAGUAAAUAUGUUGGGUUUUUGUUAAAAUGUCGGGGACACGCCCCUUUUGUGUGAUCACGCCCCCGUUCCCAUACCGGUCACACCCCCUUUUCAGGUUUUCCCAGUAAAAUGGAGAGUUGGUCGUUUUUUUUUUUCAUUUCUGGCGCAAUGAGACAGAAUCUGUUGCACAACCCAACAAAACAUGUCAGGUUUACAAUAGUAAAUCAGGGCCAUUGUCAUGUUCAAGAAACCAGAUUGAGAAGAUGUGAGCUUUGUCCUUCUGGAAGUAACCAUCAGAAGAUGUACACACUGUGGUCAUGGUCAGCAGAAAUACUCAGAACACAUGAAUGCUCAGCAGAGACAAACAUUUAUGAAAAUGGACAGCCAUCAGUUGAGAAAACAUUUUAUUGACAGCUAUACCAUGUUUACAGGCACAGGAAUAUUCGAUAAAGGUCAAUCUAGAGAGCAUCAGAUGCAGCUACCAUCUGCAGAUCUGCCCAGAAAUACCCAGCUGCCAUCUUCACUAUAUUCAUCUCUAUCCUGUGCACAACUGAGAAGUGGCCAUCUUUUCAGCAACAUAAAUUUCCUUCCAUUCUGAACAGAACAUAAGAAUUACUAGGACCUCUGUAUUCUUCCCAUACAACAGG